rnacentral:rRNA from 1 species
GUGGGGAAUCUUGCGCAAUGGGCGAAAGCCUGACGCAGCCAUGCCGUGUGGAUGAUGAAGGUCUUAGGAUUGUAAAAUCCUUUCACCGGUGAAGAUAAUGACUGUAGCCGGAGAAGAAGCCCCGGCUAACUUCGUGCCAGCAGCCGCGGUAAUACGAAGGGGGCUAGCGUUGCUCGGAUUUACUGGGCGUAAAGGGCGCGUAGGCGGACAUUUACGUCAGGGGUGAAAUCCCGGGGCUCAACCUCGGAACUGCCUUUGAUACUGGGUGUCUUGAGUAUGAGAGAGGUGUGUGGAACUCCGAGUGUAGAGGUGAAAUUCGUAGAUAUUCGGAAGAACACCAGUGGCGAAGGCGACACACUGGCUCAUUACUGACGCUGAGGCGCGAAAGCGUGGGGAGCAAACAGGAUUAGAUACCCGUGUAGUCC